rnacentral:rRNA from 1 species
AAUCAACGCUGGCGGCGUGCCUCAGACAUGCAAGUCGAACGCGAAAGUUCCCUUCGGGGAAUAAGUAGAGUGGCGCACGGGUGAGUAACACGUAGGUAAUCUACCUUCGGGUGGGGAAUAACCCAGGGAAACUUGGGCUAACACCGCAUGAUGCAGCGGCACCACAUGGUGACAGUUGUUAAAGCGGGGGAUUUUAGGACCUCGCGCCUGAAGAGGAGCCUGCGGCGGAUUAGCUAGUUGGUGAGGUAACGGCUCACCAAGGUCACGAUCCGCAGCCGGCCUGAGAGGGCGGUCGGUCACACUGACACUGGGCAUACGGGUCAGACUCCUACGGGAGGCAGCAGUCGGGAAUUUUUGGGCAAUGGGCGAAAGCCUGACCCAGCAACGCCGCGUGAAGGAUGAAAUCCC